UACGGAGGAUGCAAGCGUUAUCCGGAAUGAUUGGGCGUAAAGCGUCCGCAGGUGGCAAUGUAAGUCUGCUGUCAAAGCGUCUGGCUCAACCAGAUAAAGGCAGUGGAAACUACAUAGCUAGAGUAAGGUAGGGGUAGAGGGAAUUCCUGGUGUAGCGGUGAAAUGCGUAGAGAUCAGGAAGAACAUCGGUGGCGAAAGCGCUCUACUGGACGGUAUCUGACACUGAGGGACGAAAGCUAGGGGAGCGAAUGGG
rnacentral:rRNA from 1 species